AAUCCCUGGCCUGAACUGGGGAAGUCACUUUCAGGAUUAAAGGCAGCCAACAGAACAUCAGCACCCAGAGCCCUGGAGAACAGCAUCUGUGUUUGAGUGGGUAUAGGGAGAGAGAGGCUGCAUUUCUAAAAUAUCUCUGAGAACAAGCUGCUUUUCAGAAUUCAAAUCAACAUGUGAUCUUCUUCACUUUAGGGGUAUAUGCAGGAAGCCAUUAGACACAACCAGAGUAACAGGAGGAGGGAAGAGAGAGUCUUCAGGAAAUGAAGAAGAAAGAGGAGAAGUGGGCUGAGCUGGAAGCCUCAUUUUCCACAAGGACACUGAAACAUUGUUA
rnacentral:lncRNA from 1 species